GAAACAAGAGAAACUGUGUUUGCUGUCCACCAUUUCAUGCAUUUUAGUGUUGUGUGUCAACAGGAAUUAGUACCGAUAACAUCAUUCCUGAGCUGUAGCUCUCUCCGUACAUCCCAUAAUAUACUGAAGAAAAGUGCUGAAACACAUCAAAUCUUCUCUGUUGUAGAUUUUCUAUGAUCUGGUGCGACAGAUCAACAGAAAAACGCCGAUGGAAAAGAAAAAGACAAAAAAGAAGUCAAGUUGCACACUGCUCUAAAUUGCCAUCCCACGAUAGCUCCAGGCCAGAAACUUGUAAUGAUUAACUGUUUCCCAGUGGAUCGUGCCAGCAUUCCAAGUCCUCUCCGAAGCAUUUUGAAAAAGGCUGACAGAGAAAUUUCACCACUCGCAAAAUGGCAGGAGACGGCACAUACUCUCAAGAAACUCUUUCUUUCUGCUCUUUAAUGGCAAAGAUAUCCACCUCUUCUUUUUUUACUGUCAGCCUGAUGACAACUGUUUUGUUUUUGUCCUCUUCUCCAAGUUGUCUUUCUUUUUGGAAAUAUCAAUAUAAAAGAGGAGACCUUGGAUUUAUAUCCAUCUAUGGGAACUAAAAUGUUUUAUUAAAAGUAACAUCAGAUAUUUGAGACAUUGUGACAAUGCGUUCGCAAAAGUAUCCAUGUGAAAUGUUGGUCUUCUUGUACAUUUCUGCACUAACAGUGUCAAUGAAGAUGCGUCAUUGUCCAUAAAUUACUCGCUCCUACUUACAAGGAUGUGUAUUGAUGAAAUAACAUCUUUCCUAAGUGACUUUGUUUUAUAUCGAGAGCUGCAAGCCUUCCAUAUUUCCCAUAAUAUAUUCUACUUCCAUUUUUGCAUAAUAAAGCUAAGGAAAUUAGUAUUUUAUAGACUGAUGGGGGAAAUGGUGCGUUCUGAUUUGUGUCUUGAGGCUGAAAAUAUAUUGUACUAAACCAACUCUAAUAUCGCUUCUUGUGUUACCCUGUCACAGAUGAUUUUCCAGCUUUUAUGAAUGAUUAAAUUUUAGUACAUUUUCAUUA